GAUGAAGAACGCAGCGAAAUGCGAUAAGUAAUGUGAAUUGCAGAAUUCAGUGAAUCAUCGAAUCUUUGAACGCACAUUGCGCCCUCUGGUAUUCCGGGGGGCAUGCCUGUUCGAGCGUCAUUAUAACCACUCAAGCUUUCGCUUGGUAUUGGGGCUCGCGGUUCCGCGGCCCCUAAAAUCAGUGGCGGUGCCUGUCGGCUCUACGCGUAGUAAUACUCCUCGCGAUUGAGUCCGGUAGGUCUACUUGCCAGCAACCACCAAUUUUUACAGGUUGACCUCGGAUCAGGUAGGGAUACCCGCUGAACUUAAGCAUAUCAAUAAGCGGAGGA
rnacentral:misc_RNA from 1 species